CACAUGCAGUCGAACGAAGCUUGACGGAUGAUUUCUUCGGAAUGAAACCUGAUAUGACUUAGUGGCGGACGGGUGAGUAACACGUGAGCAACCUGCCUUUCAGAGGGGGAUAACGGCUGGAAACGGUCGCUAAUACCGCAUGACGUGUUCGGAUGGCAUCAUCUGAACAUCAAAGAUUUAUCGCUGAAAGAUGGGCUCGCGUCUGAUUAGAUAGUUGGUGGGGUAACGGCCUACCAAGUCUACGAUCAGUAGCCGGACUGAGAGGUUGAACGGCCACAUUGGGACUGAGAUACGGCCCAGACUCCUACGGGAGGCAGCAGUGGGGAAUAUUGCACAAUGGGGGAAACCCUGAUGCAGCAACGCCGCGCGAAGGAUGACGGUUUUCGGAUUGUAAACUUCUUUUCUUAGUGACGAAGACAGUGACGGUAGCUAAGGAAUAAGCAUCGGCUAACUACGUGCCAGCAGCCGCGGUAAUACGUAGGAUGCAAGCGUUAUCCGGAUUUACUGGGUGUAAAGGGAGCGCAGGCGGGACUGCAAGUUGGAUGUGAAAUACCGUGGCUUAACCACGGAACUGCAUCCAAAACUGUAGUUCUUGAGUGAAGUAGAGGCAAGCGGAAUUCCGAGUGUAGCGGUGAAAUGCGUAGAUAUUCGGAGGAACACCAGUGGCGAAGGCGGCUUGCUGGGCUUUAACUGACGCUGAGGCUCGAAAGUGUGGGGAGCAAACAGGAUUAGAUACCCUGGUAGUCCACACUGUAAACGAUGAUAGCUAGGUGUGGGGGGGUCUGACCCCUUCCGUGCCGGAGUUAACGCAAUAAGCUAUCCACCUGGGGAGUACGACCGCAAGGUUGAAACUCAA
rnacentral:rRNA from 1 species